UGAACUCAUGUGAUGACUGGAGUUGACCAACAAUUAAAGCAGAAGACCUGCUCCACCUGCUGAUCUACUGGUUGUAACAGCUUGUGGGAAAGCAUCACUGGACCAAUCAGGCGAGAGAAGACAGAGAGGACUGAGGACUAAAACGAAAAUACUCUGCCUGCCGAAAAAGGCAGACGAUCCAGUGGCCCCAGGUUUACACACCAUCUGCUGCUCAUCUUUUUGAGGCAGACUCAGAUGGAGAAGUGGCAUAAAAAGCAGCAGUGGAAACGGGUCAAAAAACGACAGAUGAGGAGCCGAUCACUUUCAAACUCACACUCACGCCCAUCCGCCUCACCCCUCCUCCCAUCUGACAGACGCCAAACACUGAGCCUCCCUCAUCGCUAUAAAACCUCCUCGCCUCCAUCACUGUCAGGGACACAAACAUCCUGAAGUGACUGGCUGAGGUGGAUGCAGACACUCUGAGGGUACUCGGAGCAGGUGGAGUGUGUCGUUUUCCAGAAGAGCGAUCUGUGUGUGUGUGUGUGUGUGUGUGUGCAGGAACUACAGUGACUCUGCCCUGCCGUUACGACUACACCCCUCAGGUCACACUGUGAGGCGCGUUAUGUGGUCACCACACCGACCCCAACCAGAUCAGCCCUUCCAGCCGCGCUACACCGGGGGAAGCGAUUCGAGCCGUUCGGCUCAGAUUCGGGGUGUGAAGCUGGGCGAUGCGGGCCAGCAUCACUUCAGGUUUGAGACAGACUGACCGCUGGGGAGAUGGACCUCACCUGACACCAUUACUCUGGAUGUAACAGCUCGACUCUCCUGUCCAUUAAAACAUCAAUGACUCGAGAAGUGGACAGCGAGGUUUCUGGUGCCUGGCUGGAGACGAGAUUCUGAUUAUUCAAGAGCCAAAACAAAACGUCAGAAUAAAUAGUUAGAAGGCAGAUUUGUUUUCUAUUUGUUGUUGUUUUCAUUAUUAAUGCUCCAUAACACAAAAUUCAUCAGUGCUGUAACUCUUGAGUUGAAUAAAAUGUUCUUCUUUCAA